rnacentral:rRNA from 1 species
UACGUAGGGUGCAAGCGUUAUCCGGAAUUAUUGGGCGUAAAGAGCUCGUAGGCGGUUUGUCGCGUCUGCUGUGAAAACUGGGGGCUCAACUCCCAGCCUGCAGUGGGUACGGGCAGACUAGAGUGCGGUAGGGGAGAUUGGAAUUCCUGGUGUAGCGGUGGAAUGCGCAGAUAUCAGGAGGAACACCGAUGGCGAAGGCAGAUCUCUGGGCCGUAACUGACGCUGAGGAGCGAAAGCAUGGGGAGCGAACAGG